CCUGAGGAAGUGUUUUGCCUACGUGGACAAAAAACUCUCCCUCAAGGUUAGGGUUUUAUGUCCAAGUAGGCAAAACGCUUCCUCAAGG
rfam:Gossypium raimondii chromosome 1, whole genome shotgun sequence.